UCGCACUAGUCGGGGAGAUAGCGGUGCCCUAUACCUGCAAUCCGCUACAGCAGGGAUGAAUUCCCACACCCGGACUUGUUUUGUGUACUGUCUGGCCGUUACAAACAGUGUUGAUGGGACGGUCUCACGCAACGGGAACCCGUGAACCAUGUCAGGUGGGGAACCAAGCAGCAUUAAGCGGAUCUUUCCGUGUGCCGUGAGGCUGCCGUUCCUGAGCUGUGAGUAUCGAAACCGAGUAUGCAGCAGGUUCAAAUGUGGGUGUGCGA
rnacentral:SRP_RNA from 1 species